rnacentral:misc_RNA from 1 species
GAUGAAGAACGUAGCGAAAUGCGAUAAGUAAUGUGAAUUGCAGAAUUCAGUGAAUCAUCGAAUCUUUGAACGCACAUUGCGCCCGCCAGCAUUCUGGCGGGCAUGCCUGUUCGAGCGUCAUUUCAACCCUCAAGCCCCCGGGUUUGGUGUUGGGGAUCGGCUCUGCCCUUCUGGGCGGUGCCGCCCCCGAAAUACAUUGGCGGUCUCGCUGCAGCCUCCAUUGCGUAGUAGCUAACACCUCGCAACUGGAACGCGGCGCGGCCAUGCCGUAAAACCCCAACUUCUGAAUGUUGACCUCGGAUCAGGUAGGAAUACCCGCUGAACUUAAGCAUAUCAAUAAGCGGAGGA